rnacentral:lncRNA from 1 species
CUAUCAUGUUUUCAUUCAUAGUUAUUCAAAGAAUGAGUUUUAUAUAAUUCAUAAAGAAAAGAACAUGCAACAGUGUUAUGAAAGACAGAAAUAUAGGCAAAAAUAUAAAAGAAAUAGGGGUACAUUCCCAUUUAUUUGAAACAUUCAUAUGAAUUUGUUCCAAUGGCCUGGGCUUCCAAGAUGGCCAAGAGUAUGCAGGAAAAGUCAAGGAUCAACAAAAUUUGAAUUUGCAAACCAGCUGCACUUAAACAUCAGGUCUCUGAAUCUGCUUUUAGAGUUUGAUGAUAUAACAAAUUGCAUAAAAAAGCAAUUUCCUUGCAGUCUGUCUUAUUUCCUAUGAUUACUGACUUACUGAAUGUUUACCUUGCCUCUUGAUAAACUGUGAACCAAUACAAAGAAAAUUUCACUAACAUGGAAGAAAUGAAAGGGUGAAGAGCAUUUUGGCAACAAUUUAAAAUCCAAAGGGAAAGUAUAUUUUAACAAUUUAUUCAUUUAGCUUUGCAGCAAGGGUUAGCAGUAAGAGUAAUAAAUUCACUACUUAUUGAAAAGUGUUUUUCUCUUUAAAGACAGCUUGUCUUCUCUAGAG